rnacentral:lncRNA from 1 species
GUCAGUUACAAAUAUGGCGUUUUGGACGGGCUCGAUAGUUUGCUUGGCCUCUACUCAAGGAAUGCUGAUGGUAUAGCAAGAAGGUAUUCUGAGCAUUAUAUCAAUGGGGAAGUUCUAGAUCUUUUGCAAAGCAGGAGCAAGCUGCCCUGUUGUGAGCUCUCCGGUGGAGAGCCCCACAUGGCAAGAAAAUGAGAAGCCCCCUGAACAGACAAGAGCUGAGGCCCAGGAUACAAUAUCCUGAAAAAAACUGAAUCCUGCUGACAGUUGCCCAAGUGAAGCUGGAAGUGGAUCUUUCUGCAGUGGAUCCUUGAGAUGACUGUAGCCCUGGCUGACAACUUGAUUGCUGCCUGUGAAGGACCCUGAACCAGAGGACUCAGCGAAAUUGUGCCCAGAUUCCUGACCUACAGAGGCAGUGAGAUAAUAAAUGCUGUUGAGGUCACAAAGUUUUGAGCCUCCCGAGUAGCUGCUAUUACGGGGGCCUGCCAC